rnacentral:lncRNA from 1 species
UAUAAUUUUACUAAGUAAACAUGUACUGAUCUCUACAUGCUUUUUAUUAGAGGUAAAGACGAUGCAUUGCCUAUCCAAGUCUCCAUACAAAUUUGUAGAUGCACAUGGCGUUUUAUCUAUCUGGCUAGCGUUUAUAUUCAAAACUCUUUUGUCCUUAUAUCUUUUCAGAAUCGCUUUCAUGUUUUACUAAGAUCUGUGCGGAAACAACAUGAGCCUUUGCUGCUUGGUCUGGGAUGGUGAAGUGUUGGUUGCAGUGGAAAUCGUUAAAGGGGGCACCGGUGUCUUCAGUUCUACGGUUACAGAAUAUAUGGUGUCAUGCCCAACGUUGCAAGGGAGCCUGUAGUGGGAGGCGACAAAGUAUUGGCUGUUGCCAUAGUAUCCAUAAUGUAUGUCAUUCUUAAUAUGCAUGCAGUUUGUACCUUUGUAUUCAUCCACCAAUUGGCAAUAUGUUGACGUGCUCUGUAGGACAUGAACAGUUGUGUGUCUAACACAUUUUCAUGAUUUUUUUCUGUCAGGAAUUGUGUCUACACCAACCUCAGAGCUGGAACAAGGAGUGCGCAUUCGCAUUGAUGAAACAAGUUUCCCACAACCCGCUG